rnacentral:rRNA from 1 species
GACGAACGCUGGCGGCGUGCUUAACACAUGCAAGUCGAACGGAAAGGCCCUGCUUUUGUGGGGUGCUCGAGUGGCGAACGGGUGAGUAACACGUGAGUAACCUGCCAUUGACUUUGGGAUAACUUCAGGAAACUGGGGCUAAUACCGGAUAGGAGCUCCUGCUGCAUGGUGGGGGUUGGAAAGUUUCGGCGGUUGGGGAUGGACUCGCGGCUUAUCAGCUUGUUGGUGGGGUAGUGGCUUACCAAGGCUUUGACGGGUAGCCGGCCUGAGAGGGUGACCGGCCACAUUGGGACUGAGAUACGGCCCAGACUCCUACGGGAGGCAGCAGUGGGGAAUAUUGCACAAUGGGCGGAAGCCUGAUGCAGCAACGCCGCGCGGGAUGACGGCCUUCGGGUUGUAAACCGCUUUCGCCUGUGACGAAGCGUGAGUGACGGUAAUGGGUAAAGAAGCACCGGCUAACUACGUG